GUAGUCUCGCACAGAUGCAUAUCAAUAAGCGGAGGAAAAGAAACUAACAAGGAUUCCCUUAGUAACGGCGAGUGAAGCGGGAAGAGCUCAAAUUUGAAAUCUUCAAGGUUUUACCUUGACGAAUUGUAGUUUAAAGAAGUGUUUUCUGUUGAAGUUUUGGUAAAAGUUCUUGGAAUAGGACAUCAUAGAGGGUGAGAAUCCCGUAUUUGACCAUUAUUUUCAGCUGUGUGAUACACUUUCAAAGAGUCGGACUGUUUGGGAAUGCAGUCCAAAAUGGGUGGUAAAUUUCAUCUAAAGCUAAAUAUUGGCGAGAGACCGAUAGCGAACAAGUACCGUGAGGGAAAGAUGAAAAGAACUUUGAAAAGAGAGUUAAACAGUACGUGAAAUUGUCAAAAGGGAAGCGUUUGACACCAGUGUUGUUUUCUCGAAAAUCAAUUAAAAAGAGUUAGAUUUUGUUGUGUAUUGACCUUAACAGCUUGCAUUUCAAUUUCUUGCUUUUUUUAAUGCACUUUUCGUUUAACAAGUCAACAUCAGUUUCUUUUGUUGUAAAAAGGUCAUUGGAAGGCUGGCUUUCUUUUCGGAGAAAGUGUUUAUAGCCUUUGACUCCUGCAAUCGGAGAGACUGAGGUCUGCAGCGUAGAUCCUUCGGGGUUAGAUACAUUUGUGCUAAGUUAUAGCUUUUUAUAGACAACUUGUUGACUAUGAUUAGUCUUGUAGCUUACUCGCUUAUGCUAUUUUACCUACGCUUAGGAUGUUGAGCGCAUGUCUCUCUCU
rnacentral:rRNA from 1 species